rnacentral:rRNA from 1 species
UACGUAGGGGGCUAGCGUUGUCCGGAAUCAUUGGGCGUAAAGCGCGCGUAGGCGGCCCGGUAAGUCCGCUGUGAAAGUCAAAGGCUCAACCUUUGAAUGUCAGCGGAUACUGCCGGGCUAGAGUCCGGAAGAGGCGACUGGAAUUCCUGGUGUAGCGGUGGAAUGCGCAGAUAUCAGGAGGAACACCGGUGGCGAAGGCGGGUCUCUGGGCAGUAACUGACGCUGAGGAGCGAAAGCGUGGGGAGCGAACAGG